UCUCUUCCUCCUCUAAACUCACGGUCUCUCUCUUUUCUGUUCUUCUUUUCUGGGUUUCUACAUGAAGAUUCCGGCGAAUCUUCAUCAUCUCCGGCGGAGGUAAGGGGGGUUCCGGCGGUGGUUGGCCGGCCGGUGCGACGGCACCUCCGCGCCGGAACCCUAAAGCUAUUUUUUUAUUUUUUUUUCUUUCUAAUUUACUCUACUCCUUCUUCUGGUUUCAAUUUUAAGUUUAAAACAUUCAAGAACCUAACAUUCGAACCUAGAUCUAAGAGAGAAAGUUUAACCUACCUUUGUCGGAACGGUGGUGUUUUGGAUCGGAACUUGCAAGGUUGGAUUCGAUCCGGAUCUGUCUGUUGCACCUUCGGUUUAAACUUGGGGGCUGUUGAGUCAAACUCGGCCUGGACCCGUCGGUUGUGCUUUUGGUUCGGAUUUGGGAGUUGAUUGGUUGUGAGGAAUUUGUGUUUCUUUGAUUCGGUCUUGGGAUGCAGUUUGCGGCUAGGGUUUUCUAAUGUUUUUUUUGUUGUGGAAAUUGUCCGUUUUUCUUUGUUUGCGGCUAGGCUUUUUUUUUGUUUUUCUGUAUUUUGCAGGUUUGCUUUUAUAGCAUUAGGGUUGGAUAGAACAAGGAAAUAACUUGCAGAGAUUACUACUGAGUUGCUGGAUUUGGCAACAAAACUUUGACCCUAUGAAUUUGCCUAAACAUGUGGCGUACGGAGAAGAAAUGAAAAAAAGAAAAAUGGACCCUUGCUGAAAUUUUCGGACUUAUUGACUUCGUUGGACAAAAAACGGAAAAUAAACAUUUAUUAAAUAUUAAAAAGUAACUAACUUUAAAAUUAAAAUUAAAAGACGGAAGUUAGAUAAUGAAAUGAAAGGAGAGAAAAGUGCCUGCAAUCGGAACAAAAAUGAGGUAUUUUAAAAUACCUC
rnacentral:lncRNA from 1 species